rnacentral:rRNA from 1 species
UACGAAGGGGGCUAGCGUUGCUCGGAAUUACUGGGCGUAAAGCGCACGUAGGCGGUCUUUUAAGUCGGGGGUGAAAUCCUGGAGUUCAACUCCAGAACUGCCUUCGAUACUGGAAGACUUGAGUCCGGGAGAGGUGAGUGGAACUGCGAGUGUAGAGGUGAAAUUCGUAGAUAUUCGCAAGAACACCAGUGGCGAAGGCGGCUCACUGGCCCGGUACUGACGCUGAGGUGCGAAAGCGUGGGGAGCAAACAGG